AAAAAAUCACAGAUAUUUAUAAUAAGCAGCCUUGGUUGUGUGAAGGUGACACUGAACAGGGUGUUGACAGCAUCCAUACAUCCUUCACGUCUAAAAUGGGGACAGAAUUUCUGAAUUUUUGUGACGAUUAGUGUAAAUGUUAUUAAGUGCCUGGCCCACAAGAGGCACUUGAUAAAUGUUGUUUUUAUGAUCUUUGCUGUGAGUUACUGGCUAUUCCCCUCAGAUCCAGCCAGGGGCUUUGUGCAAACUGGAUGCCCAGUGACUAUCAGUAAUUCUCUCUAUCUUCCCCCUAAGACAACAACGCUGGAACCUGAAUCGAUGCCGCUUUAAGACACAUCAUUCAAUCUGGCCGUUCCUGAGCCUCUGAAACCAUGUCUUUCCCUAGAUGAUCUGAUAUUUUUAACCUCGGCUGCACACUAGAAUCACCUGAGGACUUGAGAAAAUACACACGCCUGGGUCCCACCCCCAGGGAUUUCUGAUUUAAUUGGUCUGGGGUGAGGCCUGGGCAUUCCGGAUUUGUAACAGCUCCCAGGGAGAUUGUAACGUUCCAGACUUGGUGAUUAACUGAGGGUUGGGGGGAUCAGGUGGAGGCUUGGGGGGUGAGCAGCGACAGGAGGCUAGUGGCCUAAUGUCCCCUUUGGUUCCAGCCCAAUCCUUCCCUCUGCCGUGUCCCGAGGGUUUCAGGAGAAUCCAGCGUCUAGGAAAGAGGCAGCCUCGGCGGACACGAGCCCUGCUCCUCCCCCACUAGGGCAGCUACUUGCCUCCAACACAGGCAGCUUCUUCUUGGUUCAGACCUGUGUCUCCCCGCUGAUCCAGCCAAUGGGGCCCCUGAGCCCACACCUGCUCGCCCCAAGGCCCUCCCUGCGGGCCUCCCACACCCUAGGAGGUGAGAGGACAGCCCACAGGUCCUGCGCCCCGCGACUCUUCGAAGUGCUCACUGCAUCCUCACGACCCUCCUCUGAGCAGCUGUUAUCGUUACCCCGAGUCCCGGAUGAGGAAGCCAAGGCUUAGAGAGGGGAAGUGACUCGCCCAAAGUCACACAGAGGUGCCAUCAGGACUGCAACCCGGGUGGUCUGGCUGCUGUGCCACCUCCCUCAACCAUCGCAUCAAAGGCCUCCCCCCUCCUCAUUUCGUUCUCCCGAGCCAAGUCACGGGGUAUCAUUAUCUUGCUUUUAAUCAACGACAAUAAAGAUCGAGGAGGCCACAGUCCCCCCACGGGGAGGAAGGUAUGGCUGUGAGUCUGGUCCCGACCUGCCCGACCCAGAAACCCUGCCCGGUCCUUCGCCCCAGUCUGCUGCCGAGCCCCAGCCCGCUUUCCACAGCCCCACCCUGCUUGGGCAGGUCCUGGCUCUCUGAAACCUCUCCUCCCCACUGAAGAUCAGGCCGCUAAAGCGGACCUGCCUGGCUGUCUGCUUCGCUUUGCAGGGGUUCGGCCACAGCCGGACCUCUUUUCCCACAGCACCCCACCCCCAGCAGGAACCCCCACAGUCAUCAAGUCAGGCCCACUCAGCACAGAACUGUCAUCUCUAACCCCACAAGGAUGGCGCCUAUUGGCAAGCCCCGAGGGUGGCCUGAUGUUCCUGCUGGGGUGUCUUGCCGUGUCCCCAUUUCCAAUCAUAUUUUUAACCAGGGCUGUGGGGGCACCAGGACGGGCGUGUUUUGCUGGUGUGAACACAGCCCAGCCUGUCUCGGGCACCCACCAGCUCCUUGGUACCAGACGAGGCAGAUAAAGCAGGGCUCUGCCCUCCCACCCCUCCUAGCCUCAGAGCCUUGUGGUCCCUUUGAAAGUCCAGGAAGCCUGCACUCCCGAGAAAACACUGUCACCAAUCUAAGGGCUUGUAAUGAACCAAAUGAUGCUGAAUUAAUUGGAUGUCGUUAGCAGUGUCAGGGAGGGGGCUGGGGAGCAGCAGCCUCCACCAAGCCUGGGAAAGGGAAAGGCGGAGGCAGGACAGCCCACAGUACAAAAUGCUCUGCACAGCUUGUGCGGGAGAAGAAUUCCUUAGUGUCAGCUCACGCCGAAAUAGCCAAGGCACCCACUCUCCCCUCUGACAGCACCUCUGUUCUGAAACUGGACGCCCAGCCUCCGGCUUUGAACAUUGUCCCUCCAGGUGCAUCUGUCCUUGUUCACAGGAGCCUUGAUGAGAGGCUUGAGCCUGGACCAGCCCCCACUCCUCCACUGAGCUUCAGGGUCAAAUUACAAAGGAAUCAGGAGGCUCCAUCUCUUGGCUGCGCAUCCUACUUCCUCCCUUGGUGGGACGGGUGAGUGAGGAGUGUCGCCAAGCUGGUCAUCACCUCCUGUUAAGUAUUUGCAGGAAACAGAAGGCGGAGGCUCAGAAGUGCACAUGUGGUCUGCAGCUGGUGCAGAGGGACCUGAGCCCAGAGGUCUUAUCUAUCCUGACUCUGCUCUCAACGGGCUGUGUGACCCUUGACGAGUCACUGCCCUCUCUGAGCUAGUGUCUUCAACUGAGGGUGCUAGAAUAGUUAAUCUCAGUCUAUGAGUCUCGGACUCUGGGAGGAGGCAGGGGUCUUACAGGCACUGCUAAGGUUUAGGAACCUUUGUAUGUACCUAUCCCGUCGAUGGGCGGGGAAAAGAAAAGCUCUCAUGCUCACAUGCACUGUUGUUUUUCAAAUUAACAUAGAAUCGAUGGGUGUUAAUAAAAUAAAAUUUUAUUUUAAAGCAAUCACUGAAUUCAUGGGAAUUGGGGUCAUUAGUUUCCUUUUUAGGAUGUUUUAUCUUUGUAAUUUUUUAUUGUGGUAAAAUAUAAACAUAUUUUGUUGUAACAUUCAUAUCAUAAAAUAUACCAUCUUAACCAUUUAUAAACAUAGAAUUUAGUAGCGUCAAGUACAUUCACAUUGCUAUACAACCAUCACCACCGUCCAUCUCCAGGACUUUUUUGUGUUUUUUUUUAAUGGCCACACGCUCAGCAUAUGUAGUCCCUGGGCCAGGGAUUGAAGCUGAGGCACAGCUGCGAUCUGCAUCACAGGUGUGGCAACACCAGAUCCUUUAACCCACUGUUCCGGGCUGGGGAUUGAACCCUCACCUCUGGAAAUACCCAACCCGCCGCAGUCAGAUUCUUAACCCACCGAGCGGUGACAGGAACACCAUUUCCGGGACUUUUUCAUCAUCCCAAAUUAAAACUCCAGCCUUUAAACACUAACACCCCCGCCCCAACACACACAUGCUCCCCCGUCUCCCAGC